CACCAACAGUUAUAUAAAUGGAAAUGAGAGUAAUUAUGAUGUCAUAUUUUGCUAACAUAAUUAGGAACAGUCAAAACUCUGGGCCAGAAAGUUAAAUGCCAAUGAAGAGAAAAACCACUACACCUCUUGGAAAUUAGUUCACUCCUGUUGCAGACAAUCAAAUGGAAAAGGUAGCAAACUACAGUGAGUCCCCUACAUAUGAACCUUUACGUUUUGAACUUUCCAAGAUGCUAAGGCGAGUUCUCACGCCCAGUCACGUAAAUUAAUUCAUACGCCUUGCACUCAUUGUUUCAUGCAGGCAUCCUCUACAAGUGGCCGUGCGUUUGUGUUUUUUACUGUGCAGUAUGGUGCAGAGUAUGACAGUACAGUAUUUUUAUUUCAAGCCCAGGAUGUCCAGAAGCAAAUGUAAAAGCAGCGGUGAUAUAGCUGGAACUACUGUAUUGUUCAAGAUGGAGUACGCUGAGAAGAGAAAAUAUCACCCUUGGAACGGACUGUCACUAACCAAAUUCAUGGAAGGAUAUAUAAAUGAGAUGCCAUUUAUGAAUUUACAUUUCAACUGCCAACAAAAGUAAAUACUCCUGUCCAGUGAGCAGUGGAUGUGUGCAUCUACACUGAAAGAUAUAUUGCUAUAAUAUUGCCUGGUGAGUAUGGACACAAAGAGAGAAUGAUCUUUAUGUUGGUAUCAUCAAGUAAUGGCC
rnacentral:lncRNA from 1 species